rnacentral:rRNA from 1 species
AACGAACGCUGGCGGCGUGCCUAACACAUGCAAGUCGAGCGGGAAAGUUCCCUUCGGGAGCGAGUACAGCGGCGAACGGGUGAGUAACACGUAGGUAACCUACCCUUGAGACUGGGAUAACCUGCCGAAAGGCGGGCUAAUACUGGAUAAGACCGUGAGGGCUGCGGCCCUUGGGGGAAAAGGUGGCCUCUGCUUGCAAGCUACUACUUGAGGAUGGGCCUGCGCGCCAUUAGCUAGUUGGGAGGU